AGGGUAAGCUGAACCUCUGAU
rnacentral:miRNA from 2 species